rnacentral:snRNA from 1 species
CAAUGCUAUAGCUCUUGUGGAAUGUGUCUAUCAGGUUUUCAGUUUUUCACCUGAAAAGCCCCC